rnacentral:tRNA from 1 species
GCGUCGGUGGUUCAGUGGCAGAAUACUUGCCUGCCACGCGGGUGACCCGGGUUCGAUUCCCGGCCGAUGCA